GUAGCUUGCUACAUUACCUAGCGGCGGACGGGUGAGUAAUGCUUAGGAAUCUGCCUAUUAGUGGGGGACAACAUUCCGAAAGGAAUGCUAAUACCGCAUACGCCCUACGGGGGAAAGCAGGGGAUCUUCGGACCUUGCGCUAAUAGAUGAGCCUAAGUCAGAUUAGCUAGUUGGUGGGGUAAAGGCCUACCAAGGCGACGAUCUGUAGCGGGUCUGAGAGGAUGAUCCGCCACACUGGGACUGAGACACGGCCCAGACUCCUACGGGAGGCAGCAGUGGGGAAUAUUGGACAAUGGGCGAAAGCCUGAUCCAGCCAUGCCGCGUGUGUGAAGAAGGCCUUUUGGUUGUAAAGCACUUUAAGCGAGGAGGAGGCUACUUGGAUUAAUACUCUAGGAUAGUGGACGUUACUCGCAGAAUAAGCACCGGCUAACUCUGUGCCAGCAGCCGCGGUAAUACAGAGGGUGCGAGCGUUAAUCGGAUUUACUGGGCGUAAAGCGUGCGUAGGCGGCUUUUUACGUCGGAUGUGAAAUCCCUGAGCUUAACUUAGGAAUUGCAUUCGAUACUGGGAAGCUAGAG
rnacentral:rRNA from 1 species